AGUAGAAUGAAAACAUCUGUGUGUUCUGACCGUGUCUCUGAGUCUCAUCCAGUCGUUCCAGAUGUGAUUGGUUCUUCACUCGUCUCCUCUCGCUCUCACUCUCUCUCUCUCUCUCACCUCCAGUGUUCGAUCAACUAGAUCUGGUCACGUAUGAGGAGGUGGUGAAGCUUCCUGCCUUCAAGAGGAAAACCCUCGUUUUGUUAGGGGCUCAUGGCGUCGGCAGGAGACACAUCAAGAACACGCUCAUCACCAAACACCCCGACAGAUUCGCUUACCCCAUCCCACACACGACCAGACCUCCGAAGAAGGACGAGGAGAACGGGAAGAACUACUACUUUGUUUCCCACGAUCAGAUGAUGCAGGACAUCAGCAACAACGAGUACCUGGAGUACGGCAGCCACGAGGACGCCAUGUACGGGACGCGGCUGGAGACCAUACGGAAGAUCCACCAACAGGGACACGUAGCCAUACUGGACGUGGAACCUCAGGCCCUGAAGGUCCUGCGAACAGCAGAGUUUGCUCCGUACGUCGUCUUCAUUGCUGCACCAACAAUUACACCAGGAAUCAAUGAGGUAACAACACAC